rnacentral:rRNA from 1 species
UACGGAGGGUGCGAGCGUUGUCCGGAAUCAUUGGGCGUAAAGGGCGCGUAGGUGGCCCGGUCAGUCAGUGGUGAAAGCGCGGGGCUCAACUCCGCGUCGGCCAUUGAUACUGCUGGGCUGGAGCACUGUAGAGGCAGGCGGAAUUCCGGGUGUAGCGGUGGAAUGCGUAGAGAUCCGGAGGAAUACCAGUGGCGCAAGCGGCGCUCUGGGUCGAGCCUGACACUGAGACGCGAAGGCAUGGGGAGCGAACGGG